rnacentral:rRNA from 1 species
UACGAAGGGUGCAAGCGUUACUCGGAAUUACUGGGCGUAAAGCGUGCGUAGGUGGUGAGUUAAGUCUGUCGUGAAAGCCCCGGGCUCAACCUGGGAAUGGCGAUGGAUACUGGCUCGCUAGAGUGCGGUAGAGGAGAGUGGAAUUCCCGGUGUAGCAGUGAAAUGCGUAGAUAUGCGGAGGAACACCGAUGGCGAAGGCAAUCCCCUGGACCUGUACUGACGCUCAUGCACGAAAGCGUGGGGAGCAAACAGG